GUCUCGGUAGCUCAGCAGGAUAGAGCACCGGUUUCCUAAACCGGGGGUCAGGGGUUCGAAUCCCUUCCGGGACGCCA
rnacentral:tRNA from 1 species